AGAGUUUGAUCCUGGCUUAGGAUGAACGCUGGCGGCGUGCUUAACACAUGCAAGUCGAACGGAGUUUUUAAACGGAAGUUUUCGGAUGGAAGUUUAGAAACUUAGUGGCGGACGGGUGAGUAACGCGUGGGUAACCUGCCUCAUACAGGGGGAUAACAGUUAGAAAUGACUGCUAACACCGCAUAAUAUAGCGAAACCGCAUGAUUUUGCUAUCAAAUAUUUAUAGGUAUGAGAUGGGCCCGCGUCUGAUUAGCUAGUUGGUGGGGUAAAAGCCUACCAAGGCGACGAUCAGUAGCCGGCUUGAGAGAGUGACCGGCCACAUUGGGACUGAGACACGGCCCAAACUCCUACGGGAGGCAGCAGUGGGGAAUAUUGGACAAUGGGGGAAACCCUGAUCCAGCGAACCGCCGCGUGAGUGAAGAAGUAUUUCGGUAUGUAAAGCUCUAUCAGCAGGGAAGAUAAUGACAGUACCUGACUAAGAAGCCCCGGCUAACUACGUGCCAGCAGCCGC
rnacentral:rRNA from 1 species